GCCUAGUUAGCUUAGUUGGUAGUGCGUCUGCCUUGUAAGCGCUAGGCCGCGGGUUCGAUUCCCGCCCGGGGCA
rfam:Asian citrus Psyllid, Diaphorina citri - Florida Strain, whole genome shotgun sequence.